CAAACCUGUACAGGAGGAACCUGAGGAACUCUCCGAUAGUGACUUUGAAAGUCCUGUGGGCUGGAGAAGGAGAGUUCAUACAGUGUCACCUUCCACAAGUGAAAGUGAGCUCAUCAGUCAAGGGAGUGAAAAUGACAGACUGCAAGAAAGUCCAUCGCAUCAAAGAACCCUGUUUAUCUGGAAGAAGAUGAGGCUCUUGAAGAGGCAAUUCAGCGC